UCCGUAGGCGGCCAUGUGUGUCGGGUGUGAAAUCCUGCAGCUUAACUGUAGACUUGCGCCCGAAACUACAUGGCUAGAGUAUUGGAGAGGUGAGUGGAAUUCCUGGUGUAGCGGUGAAAUGCGUAGAUAUCAGGAGGAACACCAACGGCGAAGGCAGCUCACUGGACAAUUACUGACGCUGAGGGACGAAAGUGUGGGGAGCAAAAG
rnacentral:rRNA from 1 species